UACGUAGGGUGCAAGCGUUAUCCGGAAUUAUUGGGCGUAAAGAGCUCGUAGGCGGUUUGUCGCGUCUGCUGUGAAAACUGGGGGCUCAACCCCCAGCCUGCAGUGGGUACGGGCAGACUAGAGUGCGGUAGGGGAGAUUGGAAUUCCUGGUGUAGCGGUGGAAUGCGCAGAUGUCAGGAGGAACACCGAUGGCGAAGGCAGAUCUCUGGGCCGUAACUGACGCUGAGGAGCGAAAGCAUGGGGAGCGAACAGG
rnacentral:rRNA from 1 species